CGCCUAAAUAGAGGCGCCUGUUGCAUGAGUACCCGUCUUUUCAAGAGAAGCGGCUCACAAGGACGAUGAGGAAAGGGUAACGGGCCGAAACGAAAGCGUACCGCUCACCGCUUGCGUUGGGUCAGCAUGUGAAUAACUGCUGAACUGUCACGGUAAAAGAGCCGUGGAGCGCUAUUUAUCCG
rnacentral:ncRNA from 2 species